AUGAACGCUGGCGGCGUGCCUCAUACAUGCAAGUCGAGCGAACAGGCGAGGAGCUUGCUCCUCUGACGUUAGCGGCGGACGGGUGAGUAACACGUGGAUAACCUACCUAUAAGACUGGGAUAACUUCGGGAAACCGGAGCUAAUACCGGAUAAUAUAUUGAACCGCAUGGUUCAAUAGUGAAAGACGGUUUUGCUGUCACUUAUAGAUGGAUCCGCGCCGCAUUAGCUAGUUGGUAAGGUAACGGCUUACCAAGGCAACGAUGCGUAGCCGACCUGAGAGGGUGAUCGGCCACACUGGAACUGAGACACGGUCCAGACUCCUACGGGAGGCAGCAGUAGGGAAUCUUCCGCAAUGGGCGAAAGCUUGACGGAGCAACGCCGCGUGAGUGAUGAAGGUCUUCGGAUCGUAAAACUCUGUUAUUAGGGAAGAACAAAUGUGUAAGUAACUAUGCACGUCUUGACGGUACCUAAUCAGAAAGCCACGGCUAACUACGUG
rnacentral:rRNA from 1 species